AUUGAACGCUGGCGGCAGGCCUAACACAUGCAAGUCGAACGAGUGGCGGACGGGUGAGUAAUGUCUGGGAAACUGCCCGAUGGAGGGGGAUAACUACUGGAAACGGUAGCUAAUACCGCAUACCAUCGGAUGUGCCCAGAUGGGAUUAGCUAGUAGGUGGGGUAACGGCUCACCUAGGCUACGAUACCUAGCUGGUCUGCGAGGAUGACCAGCCACACUGGAACUGAGCCACGGUCCAGACUCCUACGGGAGGCAGCAGUGGGGAAUAUUGCACAAUUGGCGCAAUCCUGAUGCAGCCAUGCCGCGUGUAUGAAGAAGGCCUUCGGGUUGUAAAUUACUUUCAGCGUGGAGGCGUUACUCGCAGAAGAAGCACCGGCUAACUCCGUGCCAGCAGCCGCGGUAAUAC
rnacentral:rRNA from 1 species